rnacentral:rRNA from 1 species
AUUGAACGCUGGCGGCAGGCCUAACACAUGCAAGUCGAGCGGAGCGGCGGACGGGAGAGUAAUGCCUAGUAAUCUGCCUGGUAGUGGGGGAUAACGUCAGGAAACGGGCGCUAAUACCGCAUACUAUCAGAUGAGCCAAGGUCGGAUUAGAUAGUUGGUGGGGUAAAGGCCUACCAAGGCGACGAUCCGUAACAGGUAUGAGAGGAUGAUCAGUCAAACUGGAACUGUGACACGGUCCAGCCUCCUACGGGAGGCAGCAGUGUGGAAUAUUGGACAAUGGGCGAAAGCCUGAUCCAGCCAUGCCGCGUGUGUGAAGAAGGUCUUCGGAUUGUAAAGCACUUUAAGUUGGGAGGCGUUACCAACAGAAUAAGCACCGGCUAACUUCGUGCCAGCAGCCGCGGUAAUUC